rnacentral:rRNA from 1 species
AUACGUAGGGAGCGAGCGUUAAUCGGAAUUACUGGGCGUAAAGCGCGCGUAGGCGGCUUUGUAAGUCGGAUGUGAAAGCCCUGGGCUCAACCUGGGAAUGGCAUUCGAUACUGCAGAGCUAGAGUAUGGUAGAGGGAAGUGGAAUUUCCGGUGUGGCGGUGAAAUGCGUAGAUAUCGGAAGGGACACCAGUGGCGAAGGCGACUUCCUGGGCCAAUACUGACGCUGAGGUGCGAAAGCGUGGGGAGCAAACAGGAGUAGAUACCCCAGUAGUCC